rnacentral:tRNA from 1 species
GAAAGAGGCCAGAGGCUAUAAGGACUGCUAACCCCUGUUUCCACGGUUAAACUCCGUGGCUCAUUCG